rnacentral:rRNA from 1 species
UGGAAAGUUUCGGCGGUUGGGGAUGGACUCGCGGCUUAUCAGCUUGUUGGUGGGGUAGUGGCUUACCAAGGCUUUGACGGGUAGCCGGCCUGAGAGGGUGACCGGCCACAUUGGGACUGAGAUACGGCCCAGACUCCUACGGGAGGCAGCAGUGGGGAAUAUUGCACAAUGGGCGGAAGCCUGAUGCAGCAACGCCGCGUGCGGGAUGACGGCCUUCGGGUUGUAAACCGCUUUCGCCUGUGACGAAGCGUGAGUGACGGUAAUGGGUAAAGAAGCACCGGCUAACUACGUGCCAGCAGCCGCGGUGAUACGUAGGGUGCGAGCGUUGUCCGGAUUUAUUGGGCGUAAAGGGCUCGUAGGUGGUUGAUCGCGUCGGAAGUGUAAUCUUGGGGCUUAACCCUGAGCGUGCUUUCGAUACGGGUUGACUUGAGGAAGGUAGGGGAGAAUGGAAUUCCUGGUGGAGCGGUGGAAUGCGCAGAUAUCAGGAGGAACACCAGUGGCGAAGGCGGUUCUCUGGGCCUUUCCUGACGCUGAGGAGCGAAAGCGUGGGGAGCGAACAGGCUUAGAUACCCUGGUAGUCCACGCUGUAAACGGUGGGUACUAGGUGUGGGGUCCAUUCCACGGGUUCCGUGCCGUAGCUAACGCUUUAAGUACCCCGCCUGGGGAGUACGGCCGCAAGGCUAAAACUCAAAGGAAUUGACGGGGCCCCGCACAAGCGGCGGAGCAUGCGGAUUAAUUCGAUGCAACGCGUAGAACCUUACCUGGGUUUGACAUGGAUCGGGAGUGCUCAGAGAUGGGUGUGCCUCUUUUGGGGUCGGUUCACAGGUGGUGCAUGGCUGUCGUCAGCUCGUGUCGUGAGAUGUUGGGUUAAGUCCCGCAACGAGCGCAACCCUUGUUCACUGUUGCCAGCACGUUAUGGUGGGGACUCAGUGGAGACCGCCGGGGUCAACUCGGAGGAAGGUGGGGAUGACGUCAAGUCAUCAUGCCCCUUAUGUCCAGGGCUUCACGCAUGCUACAAUGGCUGGUACAGAGAGUGGCGAGCCUGUGAGGGUGAGCGAAUCUCGGAAAGCCGGUCUCAGUUCGGAUUGGGGUCUGCAACUCGACCUCAUGAAGUCGGAGUCGCUAGUAAUCGCAGAUCAGCAACGCUGCGGUGAAUACGUUCCCGGGGCUUGUACACACCGCCCGUCAAGUCAUGAAAGUUGGUA